UACGUAGGGAGCAAGCGUUGUCCGGAAUCAUUGGGCGUAAAGCGCGCGUAGGUGGCCCUGUAAGUCCGUUGUGAAAGUCAAAGGCUCAACCUUUGAAAGCCGAUGGAUACUGCAGGACUAGAGUACGGAAGAGGCGAGUGGAAUUCCUGGUGUAGCGGUGGAAUGCGCAGAUAUCAGGAGGAACACCAUAGCGAAGGCAGCUCGCUGGGACGUUACUGACACUGAGACACGAAGGCCAGGGGAGCAAACGGG
rnacentral:rRNA from 1 species